rnacentral:tRNA from 1 species
GCCCGUGUGGCUAAGUGGUAAAGCAUCAGACUUAUACACUGAGGAUCGUGAGUUCGACCCUCACCUCGGGCA